rnacentral:rRNA from 1 species
UACGGAGGGUGCGAGCGUUGUCCGGAAUCACUGGGCGUAAAGGGCGCGUAGGUGGCGGAGCAAGUCAACGGUGAAAGCUACGACGCUCAACGUCGAGUCGGCCGUCGAGACUGCUUUGCUCGAGCACUGUAGAGGCAGAUGGAAUUCCGGGUGUAGCGGUGGAAUGCGUAGAGGUCCGGAAGAACACCGGUGGCGAAGGCGGUCUGCUGGGCAGUUGCUGACACUGAGGCGCGACAGCGUGGGGAGCAACAGG